UGGACAUGCGCAUUGCGGCGCAAAAACUACGCGGGAAAAUUAAUUAGCUGGAAACGUUUGUAAACAAGGACAAAGAAUAAACAAAUUCUGGAGCAAGUUACUGGCCCGACAAUAUGAAGACUUCUCACACCAAAGAGUCAAGUGAAUUCUCCUGAAAUGGGGAAAACUUGGAAAGUGACAUGAGUGACGGGCGCCAUUCUCUGAGCGUUGACCAGCAGGCACAAUGGAAGAGUCGAGCGCGGUGCCAAGUUUCUAUUUCAGGGGGGACGCAUUCCAAUUGAUUAGAAGGCUUGUGAAACAAACUCUGGUGACAGAAACGAGAGUGCGGCCCCCGGCAGCUGCUGGCACGUUGCCAGGUGGACAGGCUUUCCUUGCAGCAUCUCUUUCUCUCUCUCUCUCUCUCUCUCUUUUUCUCUCUCCGCCUCAUACACACAUUAGCGACACAUUAACGACACCCACAAUGUGACCACUGGGAUAACUUAGCAGCAUUAUCUCUCUGCAUGGGAUUAAGCUUUGGACCAGCUUUCCCGUGUUCCCUAGGACUCCAAGCAAUACAAUGGAUACUUUCACCAGGUCUCUUUAAAUGUACAACCUCUAUUUAAAAUUACCUUUUUUAGAUUCCACUGAAAUAUUCUUUGAUUUGCAUUAAACUUGGUCCUUGACAAUGA